AGAUGGUCCCCACGGAGCUGGUGGAGAAGGAGUUCUGGCGGCUGGUGAACAGCAUCGAGGAGGACGUGACGGUGGAGUACGGCGCCGACAUCCACUCCAAGGAGUUCGGCAGCGGCUUCCCCAUCAGCGACGGCAAGAGGAAGCUCUCGCCCGAGGAGGAGGUGAGGGCCGGCCCCACGGCGGCGCUGGGGUGAAGGUCGGGGUGACACCGGGGUCCCCGUUGACCUUGGGCCCCAUUGGGGUGAUGGCCUCCCCAUUGAGGUUGACGUUGGUCCCAUUUGGGGUGACACUGGGGUCCUCGUUGACCUUGGGCCCCAUUGGGGUGACCCCAUCACUUCAAGGGAUCACGUUGGUCCCCAUUGACCUUGGUCCCUGUUGGGGUGACACCAGGGUCCUCGUUGACCUUGGGCCCCAUUGGGGUGACCCCAUCCCCUUGAGGGUGACAUUGGGUCCCAUUAG
rnacentral:lncRNA from 1 species